UUGUGAACAAGAGGAGUCAAGUUGCAGACCUGGAUGACAUGGGGGGUGCCACGGAGAAUAAUCACAUGGAUAUGCCACAUAAGAGCUCUAGAAGAGUAAUUCCUCCUAAAAGACUUGGCGAUUACGUUUGGAAGAGUGGGAGGUCACGUGACAAAGGACAGAGUUUGCUGCAACAAAAUGUAUAAACAGAACAAGUACUGGGCAUAAUGGGGCAAGCAAAAUCAUGAUGGAUCUUUCUGUUAUCUCAUCUCCUUCUUCACUCUAUCUUCUCAUCCCAUUUCUUUUAUUUAUCUAUCUAUCACUAGUUAUUUCUUCUUGUAUUUCAAAUUGCCUUAAAUAUAGUUUAUCAAGUAUUGUUGUUGUUUACAGAAGUUGUAGUUGGUUCAGUUUAUCAAUACAAAGGUGUCUUUGA
rnacentral:lncRNA from 1 species